rnacentral:rRNA from 1 species
GAACGCUGGCGGCAUGCCUAAUACAUGCAAGUCGAACGCAAUCGCCCUUCGGGGCACAUGAUUGAGUGGCGAACGGGUGAGUAACACGUAGGAAACCUACCCAUAAGACGAGGAUAACUACUGGAAACGGUAGCUAAUACUGGAUAGCCUAUUUAGUCGCAUGACUGAAUAGUUAAAGGAGCUUCGGCUUCACUUAUGGAUGGUCCUGCGGCGCAUUAGCUAGUUGGUAAGGUAACGGCUUACCAAGGCGACGAUGCGUAGCUGAGCUGAGAGGCUGAUCAGCCACACUGGGACUGAGACACGGCCCAGACUCCUACGGGAGGCAGCAGUAGGGAAUUUUCGGCAAUGGGGGAAACCCUGACCGAGCAAUGCCGCGUGAAUGAAGAAGGUCUUCGGAUCGUAAAAUUCUGUUGUUAGGGAAGAAUAGUAGAUAUAGGAAAUGAUAUCUAUGUGACGGUACCUAACUAGAAAGCUCCGGCUAACUACGUG